rnacentral:lncRNA from 1 species
GUGCAAAGAAUUUAAAUGUAGUCAAUUUCAAGAGUAUCAAGACACAAUAAAUUUUAAAAUAUAAAUUCAUUUACAUUAUACAUUCUAUAUUUAAAGCUGAUAAUAGAAUUAAAAAUUGUUACUUUUAAGAGAUGCCAGAUAAAAAAACUCUAAUUACCAUACUGUCAACAUCAAUUAUAUAGUACACAUACACUUUUAGAAUACGAAUAACCCUCUCCUUUCCUCAAACGAACUUUCACAUACAGCCAAAUAAUUAACUACAGACACAGUUUCAAUUAGACAUAAAGCUAAAUACAGACAAACUGCAAAAAGAUCAGGUACAGCCAUGAACAGGAAGUGCUGCAAGGCCCAAAGCAUUAUAUUAUUCAUUAAUUGCAACUCUUUCCUUUUACUAUGACAAUAACAUACUAUCCUGAAAUGUACUCAUAUAGAAUUUAACAUAGCUUAUGGUAGCAUAUGCUGUUAUGCCUUUAUUCAAUAAAAAUUCUUCCAGAUGAGGUAUGACAGUUUUUAAGAUGACAAUUAUAGAAGCAGAUAAGCUACAGACGGAAAGUUAAGAAACAAAUGAAUGCAAUAAUGUCAAAAUCUUCCCACCGCCUUUUUUUUUUUUUUUUUUUUUUUGAGACAAGGUCUUGCUGUCACCCAGGCUGGAAUGCAGUGGUGCGGUCUCAGCUCACUACAACCUCCACCUCCAGAGUUCAAAGUAUCCUCCCUCUUCGGCCUCCUGAGUAGCUGGGACUACAGGUGUGUACCACCACACUUGGCUAGUUUUUUAUUUUUUGUAGAGACAGGAUCUCACUAUAUUGCCCAGGCUGGUCUUGAACUCCUGGGCUCAAGUGAUCCUCCCAUGUUUGCCUCCCAAAGUGCUGGGAUUACAGGUGUGAGCUACUGAGCCCAGCCUAAAAUCUCCCACUUUUUAAAUGGUACUUUUUUUUUUUUUUUUUUUUUUUUACCGUCUCCUAUAUUCAGAAUCAAUCCCUAAACUGAGCCAAGGUCACUGUCAAAGGAAAGCUUUAUUUGCAUUAAAAUAAAACAGCAAAUAUAGAAGACUUACUUAAAAGAUUUAGAGUACAGAAAAAUCAAAACAAGUUUAUUUCAUCACAGACUUCUUUCUGUGAAUCAAAGGCAUUCAGAACUAUGUUUUAGAGAUCAAAUAAUGUAUUCUACAACUAUAUACAUACAAAUCUGGUAUACCACUAACACAACAUAGGAGUUAAUUCUAUUGAUGAAUAUCAUGGCUAAGAUAUCCUGAUAUACUUUGGCUACAGAAUAAAACAUGUAAAGAACUAUGCUCAAAUACAGUUCUUUCUUUGCUCAGGGUUUAGACAGGUUUCCCUCUGAAUCAGAAUCACAGACUAAACAAUCACAAAUUCUUCUAAAACUAAGUGCUAAACCCAUGAAAAAAAGAUAUAAUGUUUCUUGCCAGAAAUUUUGCUAUCUUUAAAAUCUAUAUGGUUCUUAGCCUCUAUUCUGAAAUACAUGCUAUCAUUAACUAAUAGAUAAACUAAAAAGAAUUAGAAAAAAAGAUAUUUGCCACGUGUAUCUUAUAUAUGGGUUAUGCUAUGUUCCACUCCAACCUCUCCUUCCCCACAAGUAAAUUCUAACAAAUUAGAGAAAUUUUACUUUUACAAACAUAGUCAAUGAAAAGUUAAACAUAAAAUUGCUACACAUGAAAGUCUAAGAAUAAAAAAGGUACUCAGAAAUGAUAAAUUCUAUAAUGCUAUACUAGUUAGGUAGCCAUCACCACCUGAAACUGCUAAUCAGAAAAAUCAAGAGGGCUGGGUGCAGUGGCUCACAUCUGUAAUCCCAGCGCUUUGGGAGGCCAAGGUAGUAGCAUCACCGGAGACCAGGAGUUCAAGACCAGCCUGGACAACAUAGCGAGAUCCUGUCUAAAAUCCUGGCUAAAAAAAAAUGUUUUUAAUUAGCCAAGCGGUAUUGUCACAUGUCUGUAGUCUCAGCUUCUUGGGAGGCUAAGGAGGAUGGAUGGCUUGAGCCCAGGAGUUCAAGGCUGCAGUGAGCCAUGAUCAUGCCACUGCACCAUAGCCUGGGUAACAGAGCAAGAUCCUCUCUCAUAAAAAGAAAAAAUAAAAAUCAAGAGUAUUAAUUUCUUUCACUAACCCACUACUAUGGAAGGACAGUGCCACCUUUCAAUAGCAAUCAAUGGAAACAUUUAUUUACACCAAACAGAAAAUGGAGUUUCACUUAACACAAAUAAAACAAAGCUUUGAAUUUCUCCUACCGUAAUUUUCUAUGAAGUCACAUACCUGUAAAAGUUCCACUAUUAUAAAUCCACUAGUUCUCUGUUUCUACUGAUGCAUUCUUGUCCUUUUGCAUUGUAUAUCUACUCUAACUGGGUUAUCAGCAAUCCCCUCUAUUAAGUUUCAGACAUGAUCCCAACCGCCUGAUGGAAUCUCUCAGCAGGCACCUCAAACUGCAUUCACAUGUUUACGAUGUACUCACAUUACAUGUACAUAGCUAAAGUCAUGUAGUACAAAAAGAUGAAAAGCCUAAGUAUCAAUCUCUCUCCUUCAAGAUAACAAGUACUAUUUCUAUCAUCUAAUUAAGGUGGAAAAAAACCUAGGUAUAUGCCAGCAUAUAUGUAUGCACAUAUGUACUUUGGUUCCUCAUCUACAUACAGAGCUUCUCAUAUCAGCCUAUACAGAUUUCCUUUGCUUAUUUAAGUGGAUAUGCCAUUAUUAUUUAGCCAGACCUUCAUUAUUUAGCAAGACCUUACUUUCAUAAGGUGUAUCAAUAGUUUUGUUUUUUGUUGUUUUAUUUUUUGGAGAUGGAGUCUUGCUCUGUUGCUCAGGAUGGAGUGCAGUGGCGUGGUCUUGGCUCACUG